rnacentral:rRNA from 1 species
CCUACGGGAGGCAGCAGUGAGGAAUAUUGGUCAAUGGACGGAAGUCUGAACCAGCCAUGCCGCGUGCAGGAAGACGGCUCUAUGAGUUGUAAACUGCUUUUGUACAAGGGUAAACCUUGAUACGUGUAUUCAGCUGAGAGUACUGUACGAAUAAGGAUCGGCUAACUCCGUGCCAUCAGCCGCGGUAAUACGGAGGAUGCAAGCGUUAUCCGGAUUUAUUGGGUUUAAAGGGUGCGUAGGCGGAUUGAUAAGUUAGCGGUGAAAUGUCCGAGCUUAACUCGGGAACUGCCACUAAUACUGUCGAUCUAGAGAGUAGAUGAGGUAGGCGGAAUGCAUGGUGUAGCGGUGAAAUGCUGAGAGAUCACGAAGAACUCCGAUUGCGAAGGCAGCUUACUAAACUGCCACUGACAUUGAGGCACGAAAGUGUGGGGAUCAAACAGGAUUAGAUACCCUAGUAGUC